rnacentral:rRNA from 1 species
CCGUGGAGUGAUCUGUCUUGGUUAAUUCCGAUAACGGACGAGACCUUUACCUACUAAAUAGUGAGGCGAACCUCGGUUGGCCGUCACUUCUUAGAGGGACUAUCUGCGUCUAGCAGAUGGAAGUUGAAGGCAAUAACA